rnacentral:lncRNA from 1 species
UUGUUGUUUGAUUGAGUCAUCUAGCGGAGUUUAGAUGACGACCACUGGCUAUUCUAGACAGUCUUGUGGAAACAUUAGCAGGUUCGCCACCUGUAGGUGUUAAUGAACUUGGGUGUUCAUUCGCUGUACUCCAUCCCCCUCAUGGUUGCCUUAUUUGACUUAUAUUGCUGAGGUACCCCCGAAGCAUGUGUUGUCGCCCCGAUGAAAUAUUCUUAGACUAGGUCCCUUAUGUUAGUUGUUUUAGGGACAUUAAAGUGAGAAUAACGGGAAUGGGUAAUUGGGUUAUUGUUGGUUGGUGAAAAUUAAAUAUGAUAUUUAUUGUGGGUUGAAAACCCUAUAUGCUCACCAGGCUCCCAAGCCUGACCCACUCAGUUUUAAAUUGUAUUACAGGUAGUGGCGGAAGGGCAUGAGAUGGAUGAACCAUCAAGUUGUUUUGUUUACAAGUCUGCAUAUGUUUAUAUUUGUUAUAUGACUUGUAAUGUAUUCGUUUAUGCUUAUUGGUCUGUAUCGGAACAUGACACCCCGAGUUUUGAUUAUAAUGAAAAUACAUUUCUUUUAUGAAAUGCUUCGGUAAACAAUGUUUUAUCAUGUUUUGUUUUUGGGAACAAAUUCCGCAACUCUUUCAAAUCAAAAGGAUUUACUCUGAAAAUAUUUAAAAGCAUAAAUGAAAAUCGGUCUUUUCUGGCCGAGAUUUUGGGGAUGUCACAGUUGGUAUCAGAGCAUUAGUUUAAGCGAACUAGGAAUUUGUAGGAUUUCUAGACUUAAACUUAGAAUGCUAAGUGAAGUUUUGAGAUGUGUGUCUGUUGUGAUUUAGACACGAGCACUAGUUUAUUUUAGGAAAGUUGCCUAAAAUGCUUUAUGUGCUAAAUGUUAUAUGUUGCCAUAUAUGAUAUUAUUUGUUCGGAUCUAUGGUCUGUUGCCGACCGGAUCUAGAAACCUUAUGUGUGUAGGAUUCUAAGCGUACGUCUACGAUAUUAGAACUAGCAUGUAAACGUUUCGGAGUGAUAAGGAUGAUUUGAAUAUCUAUCAUGAUUGAGGAUCUAAUUUCACCUUAUUCGGUGUAGAUCAAAAUGGUGAGAACAAGAAGUGGAGUUGGAAAUGCUGACGAAAACAGGAAUCAACCACCAGUGAUUGAGCCAAUACCUGUCGUAGCAGCAGCACCUGAGCCAAUAACCAUGGCUGGUGUGCAAUUGAUGAUUCAGACGAUGUUGGAUCGUCAGAUGGAUGAAACUAGACGGUUGCUUCAACAAAAUCGUGAAGAACUGUCGAUUCGUGUGGAAGAGCCUGAACUGAAUGAAGGGCACUCGGAAGGUGGAAACUUCAGUGGGUCUGUUGGUCCAGCCAACCCACCGAUAGUUAGGCAAGAUAACCAUGAUGGAAGGAAUGAUGGAAUGGGAUGCAAGUACAAGGACUUUUUGACUUGUAAACCAUCGACCUUCAAUGGAAAGGAGGAUCCGAUUGGGGUUAUGGAUUGGAUCUCCGAAAUGGAGUUAGCCUUUAUGACAUGUGGCUGUAGAGGCAAGUUGCAGACUAUCUAUGCCGUGCGACAAUUCCGAGGUGGAGCCGUUCGUUGGUGGAACACUCUAGGGAAGACCUUAAGCCCUAAUGAGCCACUGCAAUUGUCAUGGGCAGAGUUCUUGGUGCAGUUCAAGCGCAAGUUCUGCUCGGCUCAAAAUCUGUUGGAGUUGGAGAACAAGUUUUUGACAUUGACGAAGGGUAGCAUGUCAGUGGAUGAGUACACCAAUAACUUCACCGAUAAGAUGGAGUUUGCCUUGCGUAUCGUUCCAGACGAGCUGACAAAGGUGGAUCGGUAUGCGAAGGGACUUCCAUGGGAGUACGAGGUGCCGGUACGUCAGGCACUUACUCUAGAGGCAGCUAUCUGGGCUGCCAAGUCUGUGGAGAACAUGAUCAAGGGGAGAACCACCGUCAAGGUUGAGGUUGGUGAGAAAAGGAAGUUUGAAGGAACAUCUGGUUCCAGUAAGAAGAGCAAAUUUUCGAAAUCUGAUUCGAAAAAGUUUGGAGGAAAAGGAGGCGAAGCAAAGUGGUGUGAUAAGUGUAAGAAAAAGCACUUUGGGAAAUGUAGCGAGGAUGUGACCUGCUACAAGUGUGGAAAGGUUGGACAUUUUGCCAAUGAAUGUCCGAACAACAAAAGGAUGUGUUUUGGGUGUAAUGAAGAGGGGCAUAUUUUGAAAGACUGUCCGAAGAAGAAGGAGGCAGCUAGGCCCAACAUUCCACCAAAGCCGAAGGCGAGAGCCUUCCAGAUGACACUUGAGGCUGCGAAAGAUGAAGCUGAUGUCGCUUCAGGUACCUUUCUCGUAAACGAAUUACCUGCUCAUAUAUUGUUUGAUUCUGGAGCCAACUACUCCUUUAUUUCGCAUGAGUUUGGUAGAAAGCUAGCUUUGCCUGUUGAUAGACUAGAUAAUGCUUUAUUAGUCGAAGUAGCUAGUGGCAAGUUUGUACCUGUUAGCCAUCGUAUGAAAAACGUCUUGAUCGACCUUAAUGGGAAUAAGUUUCUCGAGGAAUUAUUGCCUAUCGAACUAAAUGGUUUCGACAUCGUCUUGGGAAUGGAUUGGCUUAGCGCCAAUGAUGCCGAAAUUUUGUGCAAGAAGAAGAUAGUUAAAGUAAACCCGCCUGGGAAAGAUUCGUUUAUGGUGUAUGGGGACAAACGCAGAGUGAAUUCUGGAAUCAUUUCUCUAAUGAAAGCCAGAAAGUGUUUGACCAAGGGAUGUACAUCAUAUUUAGCAUUCGUGAUUGAUGCUAAGAAAGAAAAGAAGGUGAUGCAGAGCAUUCCAGUGGUGUGUGAUUAUCCGGAAGUAUUUCCCGAGGAUCUUCCUGGAUUACCACCUGAUAGACAAGUGGAGUUCAGAAUAGACUUGUUACCAGGAACCACGCCAAUAGCAAAAGCACCUUAUCGAUUAGCACCGACGGAGAUGAAGGAGCUGAUGAUGCAACUUCAGGAGUUAUUGGACAAAGGUUUCAUUAGACCUAGUUCAUCGCCCUGGGGAGCUCCGGUGUUAUUUGUAAAGAAGAAAGAUGGAAGUAUGAGAAUGUGCAUCGAUUACAGAGAGCUGAACAAGGCAACAAUAAAGAAUAGAUAUCCGUUGCCGAGGAUUGAUGACCUGUUUGAUCAAUUGCAAGGUUCGAGCUAUUUCUCGAAGAUCGAUCUUAGGUCAGGAUAUCAUCAGCUGAAAGUAAGAGAGCAAGAUAUCGAGAAGACUGCAUUCAGAACUAGAUAUGGACACUACGAGUUCUUGGUUAUGUCGUUUGGACUAACCAAUGCUCCAGCAGCGUUCAUGGAUUUGAUGAAUAGGGUUUGUAAUCCUUUCCUUGAUAAAUCCGUGAUAGUGUUCAUAGACGACAUUCUGAUCUACUCGAAAAGCCAGGAGGAGCAUGGCAGACACUUGCGAGAAGUGUUAGAAGUUUUGAAGAAGGAGAAGCUUUAUGCGAAGUUCUCCAAAUGUGAUUUUUGGAUUCGUGAGGUCCAAUUCUUGGGUCACGUGGUCAACCAAGAAGGGAUAAUGGUUGAUCCAGCGAAGAUCGAAGCUGUGACGAAGUGGGAACAACCGAAAAGUCCCACGGAGAUUCGAAGCUUUUUAGGAUUAGCCGGAUAUUACCGAAGGUUUAUCCAAGGCUUUUCUUCGAUUGCUACUCCAUUAACAGCUUUGACCCACAAAGGAGCUACUUAUGCUUGGAGUGAGAAGCAUAAAGAAGCAUUCGAGAAGUUAAAGAAGAAGCUAUGCGAGGCACCGAUACUUUCUCUACCCGAUGGAGUUGAAGACUUCGCUGUUUAUAGCGAUGCGUCUGGUGUUGGAUUGGGUUGUGUUUUGACCCAAAGAGAAAAGGUGAUAGCAUAUGCGUCUCGACAGCUGAAAGAGCAUGAAAAGAAUUACCCGACUCAUGAUUUGGAGUUGGCAGCGGUAGUUUUCGCUCUGAAAAUAUGGAGGCAUUACCUCUAUGGCACGAAGUGCAAACUUUUCACUGAUCAUAAGAGUCUCCAAUACCUCUUUAAUCAGAAAGAAUUGAAUAUGAGGCAACGACGCUGGCUAGAAUUACUUAAAGACUACGACUGCGAGAUACUUUACCACCCCGGUAAAGCUAAUGUUGUUGCUGAUGCUCUCAGUCGGAAAGUCAAUCUUGAAAGGAAGAGGCCAAGAGCGUUGAGAAUUGAAGUUGUCUCGACUAUUGUGGAAAGUAUAAAGAAAGCUCAAGAGGAAGCUUCUGAGAAAAAUGACCGAAAGGAGGAACGUUUGGGUAAAACGUUGGUGUUUGGUACUAACGGUCAUGGACUGAAGGUAUUCCAAGAUCGUAUUUGGGUACCUAAGUCAGGAGGAAUUAGGGAUCUUCUGAUGGAAGAAGCUCACAAAACCAUGUACUCAAUUCAUCCGGGUAGCACUAAAAUGUAUAGGGACCUGAAACCCUACUACUGGUGGCCGACGAUGAAGCUUGAUGUUGCAAAGUAUGUGGCCGAGUGUGUGACUUGUGCGAGAGUCAAGACACAACAUCAGAAACCUUACGGGAGUUUAGAACCAUUGCCUGUGCCUAUGGGUAAGUGGGAAGACAUUGCUAUGGAUUUUGUCACUAAACUGCCCAGAACAAAGAAUGGUCACGACAUGAUUUGGGUGGUCGUUGAUCGAUUCACUAAGAGUGCGCAUUUCAUAGCGGCCAGGGAGAAAUGGUCUAUGGAAAAGCUUGCGAAUUCUUACGUGAAGGAAAUUGUGAGGCUUCACGGUGUUCCGUUAACGAUUGUAUCGGAUCGUGAUAGCCGUUUCACCUCAAGGUUUUGGAAAAGUCUACAAGAGGAAAUGGGUACCAAGUUAUGUUUAAGCACAGCUUACCAUCCGCAGACUGAUGGUCAGAGUGAAAGAACAAUACAAACACUUGAAGAUAUGCUGAGAGCAUGUACCUUGGAAUUCCUAGGUAAUUGGGAUGAACAUUUACCGUUGGUAGAAUUUUCCUAUAAUAAUAGUUUUCACUCGAGCAUUAAGAUGGCACCUUAUCAAGCUUUGUAUGGACAGAAGUGUCGUACGCCGUCUUGUUGGCUUGAGGCUGGGGAAAAGCAGUUUAUGGGACCGGAGAUGGUUCAUCAAACUGCUGAAAAGUUGAAAAUAAUUAGGGAAAGAAUGUUAGCAGCUCAAGAUCGUCAAAAGAGCUAUGCUGACAAGAAGCGAAGACCGAUGACUUUUGAGGUUGGAGAUUCGGUUUUGCUUAAAGUCUCGCCGUGGAAGGGACUUAUAAGAUUUGGUAAAAGGGGAAAGUUGAGUCCAAGGUUUAUUGGACCGUUUAAAGUCCUUCAGAGGAUUGGGAAUCAAGCUUACAAGCUCGAAUUACCCGAAGAACUGAAUGGAAUUCACAACACCUUUCAUGUGUGUUAUUUGAGGAAGUUCACGGGAGAAGUUCCCGAUAUAAUUCCAAUUUCUGAAUUGAGAAUUGAUGAGAACAAAAGGUUGAUUGAAGAACCAGAGGCAAUUGUUGACCGAAAGACUAAGAAGUUGCGACGCAAAAUGGUUGGGUUAGUGCUUGUCCGAUGGAAACACACGAAUGGGCCGAAUCUCACCUGGGAGACGGAGAGUGACAUGUUGAGUCGCUAUCCGCAUUUGUUUGUUGAUGUGUGAUUCCGGGGACGGAAUCAUUCUAAGGUGGAGAGAAUUGUAACGCCUGUGUUUCCGGGCUUGCCAUUUUUAGCAAUGUAAUAGUCUAGGUUAACCUUUGUAACCCGUUUUGAAAUAAUAAGAUUGUAUUAUUUGAGUAUUAUGUGUUUUGUGCUUAAUUGCUUAAUUAUGUGGUUUGAUUAAUUAAGAAUAAAAAUAAGCGUCAAAAUUUAAGUGUAAAAUAAACUUAAUAUCUUUGGUUAAUGUUGUAGUAGUUGAAACGAGGUUUCCGAAUAUAUAUAGAACGCCCAAAUCUGACUUCGUAUGAGGAAGUUAUGAUUUAUCGAAGUUCCGGCUUAGCGAUAUACAGCCUGUUUUACUCGAUUUGAGAUCGAGCGGUUGUUAGCCGAAGCAAUCUAAAUGAGAAUCGAAGAUCUCAUUGUUGGUAUUGAAACGAUAAAAAGUUAGGCGAGAACGGACGUCAAACGAAGAAGUUAUGAAUUUAUAACGAAAGUUUCUGUCCCGGCCUAUUAAAAAUAAUUAAUAAAAAUAAAGUCAAAAUUAGCCGACGGAGUCUAAACGAAAGUCGUAGAGCGUGGUCUCACCUUCGCGUGGAUAUAAAGAACGUCGAAAACGGAGUUCGUAUGAAGAAGUUAUGAAUUUCCGAAGUUUAUUAAUCAUUUUGUAUUUAUUUUUAAUUCAAAAUUCGGAAGCAUUAUCCGAAGGAGUCACCGAUCUGAUCCGAGGUACGCCCCGCGUACUCGAGUACGCCCCGCGUACUCCGAGGGAUGUCGACACUCGCACUCGAGCACUUCGGAUACGUAAGCAAUGACGUUUUGGGCAGUACGCCCCGCGUAACGCAGUACGCCCCGCGUACUCCGAGGCUCCAGCCUCCUAUAAAUAGGAUGCGAGGGUUCCGGGUAUUUUUGCCAAUUCCCUCUCGUUUUCGUGUCGAAGCUCUGUGCAAAAACCCCCGAAGCUACCCCGAAGUCCCGGUAUCAUACUCUAGCCCCGAGGCAAGUCCCGAGAUCCUGAAGAUCCCGAAAAGUGCGGUUCCCGAGUCGAAGCUCUGCCCGCGAGAAGUUCGAUUUUCGAGAAGAUCUUCCAGAUCUGCUGUGGAUUACUACUUCUAUAAGCCGUAGUGCUGUCCGAUCAUCUUCUGAUCAAGUGAGUGUGUAGUUAUUUCUUCUAAUACAAUAAUACGAAGUAUUUUAUAUAAAAAUACGUGCUAUGUGUAUAUAUUUGGUUGUGUUAUGUGUGAAUGAGUAUUCACUCUCUUCUAUCUUAUAGAUCUGCUUAUUUCUUUAUGAGAUAUGUGUUAUGUGUGUGUGUGCCUCAUCUGUUAUGUGAUAUAUGUGUUGAUUAAAGCAUGCUAUACAGGUUUUCUUUAAACUAUGUAUACAAAUGUAUAUUUUUAUCUACUAAUAUGUUGGGUAGAACAUGGGUAGACAGUUGGUGUGUAAUAAACAGAUGAGAGGCCUCGUUGUUGUUUGAUUGAGUCAUCUAGCGGAGUUUAGAUGACGACCACUGGCUAUUCUAGACAGUCUUGUGGAAACAUUAGCAGGUUCGCCACCUGUAGGUGUUAAUGAACUUGGGUGUUCAUUCGCUGUACUCCAUCCCCCUCAUGGUUACCUUAUUUGACUUAUAUUGCUGAGGUACCCCCGAAGCAUGUGUUGUCGCCCCGAUGAAAUAUUCUUAGACUAGGUCCCUUAUGUUAGUUGUUUUAGGGACAUUAAAGUGAGAAUAACGGGAAUGGG